CUUGCUCCCGGAUGUUAGCGGCGGACGGGUGAGUAACACGUGGGUAACCUGCCUGUAAGACUGGGAUAACUCCGGGAAACCGGAGCUAAUACCGGAUAGUUCCUUGAACCGCAUGGUUCAAGGAUGAAAGACGGUUUCGGCUGUCACUUACAGAUGGACCCGCGGCGCAUUAGCUAGUUGGUGGGGUAAUGGCUCACCAAGGCGACGAUGCGUAGCCGACCUGAGAGGGUGAUCGGCCACACUGGGACUGAGACACGGCCCAGACUCCUACGGGAGGCAGCAGUAGGGAAUCUUCCGCAAUGGACGAAAGUCUGACGGAGCAACGCCGCGUGAGUGAUGAAGGUUUUCGGAUCGUAAAGCUCUGUUGUUAGGGAAGAACAAGUGCGAGAGUAACUGCUCGCACCUUGACGGUACCUAACCAGAAAGCCACGGCUAACUACGUGCCAGCAGCCGCGGUAAUACGUAGGUGGCAAGCGUUGUCCGGAAUUAUUGGGCGUAAAGGGCUCGCAGGCGGUUUCUUAAGUCUGAUGUGAAAGCCCCCGGCUCAACCGGGGAGGGUCAUUGGAAACUGGGAAACUUGAGUGCAGAAGAGGAGAGUGGAAUUCCACGUGUAGCGGUGAAAUGCGUAGAGAUGUGGAGGAACACCAGUGGCGAAGGCGACUCUCUGGUCUGUAACUGACGCUGAGGAGCGAAAGCGUGGGGAGCGAACAGGAUUAGAUACCCUGGUAGUCCACGCCGUAAACGAUGAGUGCUAAGUGUUAGGGGGUUUCCGCCCCUUAGUGCUGCAGCUAACGCAUUAAGCACUCCGC
rnacentral:rRNA from 1 species